rnacentral:rRNA from 1 species
CCUACGGGGGGCAGCAGUGGGGAAUAUUGGACAAUGGGGGGAACCCUGAUCCAGCCAUGCCGCGUGUGUGAAGAAGGCCCUCGGGUUGUAAAGCACUUUCAGUGAGGAAGAACGCCUGGUGGUUAAUACCCAUCAGGAAAGACAUCACUCACAGAAGAAGCACCGGCUAACUCCGUGCCAGCAGCCGCGGUAAUACGGAGGGUGCGAGCGUUAAUCGGAAUUACUGGGCGUAAAGCGCGCGUAGGUGGCUUGAUAAGCCGGUUGUGAAAGCCCCGGGCUCAACCUGGUAACGGCAUCCGGAACUGUCAAGCUAGAGUGCAGGAGAGGAAGGUAGAAUUCCCGGUGUAGCGGUGAAAUGCGUAGAGAUCGGGAGGAAUACCAGUGGCGAAGGCGGCCUUCUGGACUGACACUGACACUGAGGUGCGAAAGCGUGGGUAGCAAACAGGAUUAGAUACCCCUGUAGUC